rnacentral:rRNA from 1 species
ACACACUAUCAUUAACUGAAUCCAUAGGUUAAUGAGGCGAACCGGGGGAACUGAAACAUCUAAGUACCCCGAGGAAAAGAAAUCAACCGAGAUUCCCCCAGUAGCGGCGAGCGAACGGGGAGCAGCCCAGAGCCUGAAUCAGUAUGUGUGUUAGUGGAAGCGUCUGGAAAGGCGCGCGAUACAGGGUGACAGCCCCGUACACAAAAAUGCACAUGCUGUGAGCUCGAUGAGUAGGGCGGGACACGUGGUAUCCUGUCUGAAUAUGGGGGGACCAUCCUCCAAGGCUAAAUACUCCUGACUGACCGAUAGUGAACCAGUACCGUGAGGGAAAGGCGAAAAGAACCCCGGCGAGGGGAGUGAAAAAGAACCUGAAACCGUGUACGUACAAGCAGUGGGAGCACAGAGCAAUC